rnacentral:lncRNA from 1 species
CAGGCUUAAAGCCUUAUGCCUUCGAACGAAAAAGAAACUCCAAGCAGACUUCUGCGUAUAAGAAAUAGACGAACGUCCCAGCGAAAGUACUUACGCAAGCAACGGAAAAUUCUAGGGUUCUUACCAAUCACUAAUUCUUGAUCUCAGGUAUGUGAAAUUCCCUACUGUCAAUUACCCUAUAGUAGUAAUAGGUAAGAAUUGAAUAAUUAAUUCCUUUCUUUCUUUGUAUCAACAUCAAAUUUCAUGUUUAGAUGUGAAGCUUUAAAAUCAAAUAAAACGCACUGGUUGUUGUAGAAUCAAUUAUUUGACGGGUAUAAAUUGGUAUGGGGUCUAUGUAUUGGCUCGAGAAGUUUUGAGGUGAGUUGAUAUAACCCUUUGUUAAAGUGGUUUAACUCACAAAAGCACGUAUGUAAGGUGUUUGAUAAAUUGCUUAAAAGAGUUUAUAUUUACUUAAUUGGAGCGAGCGAGUACCUAUUAACUUAGAAUUGUUCUAGCAAAAGUUUAUAUGAUUUAUUAUGAUAUAUGUGUGUAAAUUUUCAGAUUUUUGUGUUAUUUUUAUAUGCUAUUUUCAUGUUGAAAAUUUAUGAAGAAGCAAGAAUCUUUAGAAAUACUUUUACAUGUUCUUGUGCCAAAGUAGGGAGUACACGAGCCGAGGGUCUUGUUGCUGAGAAUUUACUUAGCCAGGCUGAGGUAUGAUACAUGAGCGUUGAGAACCAUGAAGCGAGUGACACCUCGUGGAUUGUGCCUAUUCGAUCAGGUUGGGAUCGAACCCGUGCCGAUCACACGGUGACUGAGACGGAAUUAAGUCAUGAUAGUUGGAACUUACAAAGUAUAAGGUGAAGAAUUUUUUUAUAAGAAAGAAAAAGAAAAGAAUUUCUUUUAGAAUAUUUAUAAACUGCUAUUAUGCAAUUAUUUAUAAUUAUUCUUAUAAGCUUUAUGUUUUACAUGCAUUUAGAACCUUUGCUCAUAAUGUAUAUGUUAUUAAAGUUUUCCCCCCUGUUGUUGAGAUUGACUGAGUAUAAUGGAUGGUACUGACGUUCUCUUUUGGGAACCUACGUUGGUCUGCGGUACAACGUAGGAACCGGUUUUGCAGGCGAGAAGGCUACGGGUUAGAACUUUCUUCUCUUCCAGUGCUAGUGGUGAGCUCCGCUUUUGUUCAUGAAGUAUUCCUUAGAGUCAUCUUUAUUUAGUUAUUUCUUUGUUUACUUAGAGAACUGGCCAGGAAAUCUCAUGUCCUGAGUAGUGCGUUAGUUUAUCAGUAGAGGCUUCAUAGACAUAGUCGUUGGGUUAAGAUUCAUAUGUUUUUGAUAAUAACUUAGCAGUAAUUCAGUAGUUACUAUGAAUAAAGUUUUGGAGUUGAUUUAUUUAAAUAUUUAAAAUUAAUCAAAAGUAUUUGGUUAGAGCAUUGCUUUGUUACAUAUAAGGUUUGGAGUUAUAAUAGAUUUGAUAAGCAGAGAUGGUUCGCUCGGUCAUGUUUAGUGAUCGAGUGCCAGUCCCGGCUUGUUCAGAAAAUGGGUCAUGACAGAUACUCUAAGUCUCCCACCUGGCAAUGCAUCCUCAAGGGCUGUGAUACUUGCAGGAAGGCAAUCACAUGGGUGGUCCACAAGGGAAACAAUGUUAGCUUUCUGAGUGAUGCUUGGAUCCCCAAUCAGCUAGCCAUUAGGGACAUGAUAGAAGACCCCCUUACUCAGAAUGAUGAAAUUUCCAAAGUAGACACUAUCUACAAUUUAGGGGUUUGGGUUCUCUCCACCAUCUCUAUGGAUCUGCCCUCAAGUAUUUCUAACAUGAUCAAUUCUCUCUUCAUCCCUCCAAACCCUACCAAGGAUGACAAGCUAAUCUGGAGACUGACUCAUAGUGGGUCCUUCACCAACAGCUCUGCCUACUAUUUCCUUAGCAAAACCAAAAACAAUGUCGAAAUAGACGAGGAAGAGAAUUUUAAUUGGAUUUGGAAAUUACACACACCUAACAAAAUCAAAAACUUCAUCUGGUUUCUUACCUACAAAGGGUUACCUACUGGAGGUUACCUCCACAGAAUUGGGGUUAACUAUAACUCACAAUGUUGUUUCUGCCACAGUCUUAAAUAAACAAGUGACCACAUCUUCUUUGAAUGCAUUAAUGCAGCCUAGUUCUGGCAAGACUUACUAUCCAAGGCCUCAAUUGAGAGUAGGCAAUAUAACCCCAUCUUUUCAUCCCAACAAUGACCCUUCACUUGGAACAAGCUUAGGAACACACCUUUUAAUGAUCGCAUUCCUUGGAAAACAUCAUUCCUUUUUGUUUCUGGCAUAUAUGGCUAUGCAGAAACCACAACUUGUUCAACAAUGAAAAAGAUAGAAUCAGCAUCGCCAACACUAUCUCUAAAGCAACUGAAUACUUUAUGUUGGUAAAACAUACAACCAUAAAAAAAAAUCCAAAUCACUGUAAAAUGGGAGCCCCCAAGAAGAAGUUUCUUUAAGCUGAACACUGAUGUGGCAGCAAUGGGUAACCCAUGCAUAGGAGGAAUAGGUGGAGUAUUCAGGAAUCACAAUGGGGAUUGGAUUAUUGGGGUAUAUGGAGAAUAUACCACAUACAACCAACACUUUAGAUGAAUUGAAAGCUCUCCUAAAAGACUGCAACUUGCUGAACAAAAUGAUUGGAUCCCGUUAGACAUCAACAUUGACUCGGUAGAAUUAAUAUAAAUGCUAAUUACAUGUAACCUAACAUAUGAGCCUAUGACUUGUGAAUGCAGGUUGUUAAUACAAAGGAUGGUGAGGGUCGUGGUAAAGCACACAUAUAAGGAGCCGAAUAGAGUGGCAGACGCAAUGGCAAAAGAAGCAGCAAAGACAACAUUUUUUGGGUAGAUUUAGCUUACUAGCAGUUCCUCUGAUGUUUGCAAAUGAUGUAUUUUGGGCAGACAUCCUAGGAACUGAAGUUGUUAGAGAUUUUCUGGCAUGUAAUAUUGACUUUAUAUCUCAUAACAUCGCACUGUUGGGGGAACUACAGUACCCCAGCAAUGACAAUACUGUGUAACGUAUUUUUGGUCAGUAGUUAUAUAAAUAUCCGCCCUUUAACAAAAAAAAGAGAGAUAUUAAAG